UGUAAUUGUUGACUUUGUUCAAACGAUAUUUUCAUCGUCCUUUAACAUUUUUCGCCUCUAUUAGCUGUUCAAAUUAGAUGUUAAACCAUUUCAGCGUUGAUUACAGCGCACAAAGGCGCUCACGAGUGCAAAUUCCUAGAGGAUCGCGAGGACAAAAACGUCAAUUUAUUCAUUAGACAUCAAGAGUGGGUAGUUGAGUGUCACAAGACAAAAAAAAAAUAAAAAGAUAAUAUGGACGAUUCCUUGUUACUGCUUGAACUUGUGUCAUCGAUAAAUACCAGUAAUAUUAUGUUCUCAGUAUAAUAUUAGUUGGCAGCUGGCUAUUAUACUAGAUGCACUGAAGCUCGUGUUAAAACUGUUUUGCCUGAUGAUAAAAUGUUUGCGUAUAAAGCAGAGGAUCUAAGUAAAAGUGGUACAUACAAUAGCGAAUGUACAGGAGGACUUCGCGGCAUUCCGUAAGAAUAUCUCGGGCUUUCGAGUACAACGAUCUACUCACCGCCCAACCUCUAAGCCAAUAUACACGGUUUUACUGCUGCCGCUAUCAUAUCGAUCCCGUCUUUGUACCGCGACGAUGAUUCGCGAUACACUGUGCGAUUUGGGAGCCGCAUAAAUUAUGCGUAGCCGGUUCGCGCAUUAAUAUACGCGCAUACUCGCGGUAUAUAUACCACGAAAUAUUAUAUAUUAUUAUAUAGGUUAAGUUUACCUGCAGCACUGCCCAGUAUAUAACAUCAUAAUAACUAUUCAAGAAGGACCCACGAAAGUUUUAAGUGUGUUUCAUAUUUUUUUUUCACAUAAUGUAUAUAGGAAGGUAAACUACAGUGUAUAUACACAAUAAAACGUAAAUAUAAUUUUUUUUUUAACUGAACAUCCAAGCAGGUGAUCUUUUUAAAAAGAUUUGUUGGCGAAUUGGUGCUGAAAUUUAUUUGUUUUUUUUUUUUUUGCUCGACAGUACAAUACUUAAAAUUCAAGUACCUACUUCGAAACAUCAUAAUAUUAUUAUAAUGUUUUACGGCAUUGAUGCAAUAAUAACAGAAAAAAAUAAAUUCGAAUAAUUAUGAAUAACUACUGCAGAUAUUUUACUGAUCAGCACUAUAACAUAAGUCAACGAUAAGUCUGAAGACUGUUACAUCGCAUGAAAGUCAUUCUUCCAGAAUCGGUUUUGCCACAGAGGUUAAUUAACGAGUAAGCGCCAUAAUAAUACAAAUAUAUAAUUAUAACGUAUAAUAAUUUUCUUAGGGCCGUUCUUACAAUGUCCGAUUAAGUGUUGGUUAAGACUAACCGGAAGAAUUCUAUCGGUUGACUCAUGAUAAAUUCUCCCGGUUAACGUUUAUCAGGCACUAACCGAACAUUGUAAGAACGGCCCUUAGCAUUUGACAGAGUAGAAGGUGCUGAAUUGUUUUACAUAAUUAAAUAGAGUAUUAGUUUAAUAUUAUUUUUUUUCUUACAGUUUCGACAUUAAUAUAUAUCUCUUUAUUCAUGGAAAUUAAUUCCAAUUACAAUAAAACAAAACAACAGUAUGUGUGUACUUACAUACAUGCAACAAGUUAGAGCUUCUUAAAAAUAUAAAAUUAUAAUGCGAUAUGUAAAUUAGGCAUAGAAUAGAAUAAAAUACAUCGCUUGGAUAAAUAGAUGGUAUAGCUUACGCGUAUUUAAUAUGAAACUUGGUAAAACAUAGUGCGUUGGAUUUUUGCACUACAUGCGCUUUUUAAUGGAUUUUAUAUAAAUAUAAGUAGAUAUUUUUACUAAUACUAUUUGUUAAAAAUUAGUAUUUUAAAACUUAAGCCCUAGUGUAUAUUUUAAUACUAACUCAAACUAUCUUACAAGUGGUUAUAAUGUCAGUAACGUUGUUGGUUGGGGCGAAAUUAUUACGAGAAUCUAAUAAAUAGAGAAACAGUUUCACGCAUAAAAUAAACAUUCACGCUGUAUAUAAUCAUUAUUUAUGAUUUGUAAACUAAAUGUAUGCAUUACACAGAAAACAAUAUUUAC